AACGCGAAGAACCUUACCUGGGCUCGAACGGCUUUGGAUCGCCGGUGGAAACACUGGCUUCCCCGCAAGGGGCCGGAGUCGAGGUGCUGCAUGGCUGUCGUCAGCUCGUGUCGUGAGAUGUUGGGUUAAGUCCCGCAACGAGCGCAACCCUUGUCCUGUGUUGCUAAUCCGCAAGGAUGCACUCUCAGGAGACCGCCAACGAUAAGUUGGAGGAAGGUGGGGAUGACGUCAAGUCAUCAUGGCCUUUAUGUCCAGGGCUACACACGUGCUACAAUGGGCGGUACAAAGCGCUGCAAACCCGCGAGGGGGAGCUAAUCGCAAAAAACCGUUCUCAGUUCGGAUUGCAGGCUGCAACUCGCCUGCAUGAAGCUGGAAUCGCUAGUAAUGGCAUAUCAGAACGAUGCCGUGAAUACGUUCCCGGGCCUUGUACACACCGCAUAC
rnacentral:rRNA from 1 species